CAAAAAGAAUGUGGUUGAUGAAAGCUUCAAAGAAGUUGAUUGUCAAACUGGGUCUAGGAUCACAAGCCUGACGUACAGAUGCACAGAAUGGAAACCAGUAGAAAGGCCAACGAUGAAGGAUGUUUUAGACGUUUUGACAGAAGCAAUGAAGAUGGGAGCCAGGGGGGAGAAACGAAAAAGAGAUGAAAAUGAAGCAGUAGAAGCCGCAGCUGUCCCCCUCUUGGCUUGAGCUGCUUUUACCUUACUGUAUGAAUUGAAUUUGGUGCGAAACGCUUAGUAUUUUGUUUUUGUUGAAUUUUCUUUCAAAAAUGCGUACUUCUAUGUAUGAACCAUUUGGAAUUCCUUGCGGAGGGCCUUACUCAUUGGGUUUAAUUCUAAUGCAAGACCAGAUAGAUACCCUCAACUAUUCCACAGUUCAACUACUUUUUAGUGAUG
rnacentral:lncRNA from 1 species